UUGUCCCUCCCAUCCCUGUUCUCCCUUUUCACCUAGAAGCAAAUUUAAAGGAACAGCCAAGGCAGCAGAGUGACUUUACCUUCUUGUUGGAUCUUUCUUUGGCUUCUUCCUAUUUAGGUAAGAAUGAGGGCCUGUGAGUGGAUAGAGUCAUGGAUUGCACCUUCCUUUUCAAAUCAUGCAAGCUAUUGUGGAGGAAAUGGAAACAGAACAUGAGUAGUGAGAGAGCAAUGCAAUGGAGUUUCUCUGUUUCGUUUGGAUGGGUGGAGCACAAUUGGCGUUGGUUUCUCACUUCAUAGUUACAUUCACAAUUUCACAGACUUAAAGAACAACAGGAACUUUUAAUUUUGACUAUUCAAAAUUAACUGCACCGUCUCAAAUUGGAAUUUGGAAUUCCACAAUUCAAUUAGAGCCACAAGUUGAAAUGAUAUUUACUACAAUUCUGCUGUUUGUGAGUUGUCAAUUAAUAUUAUAAUGUUUUGUGAAGCCUAUAAAAGGCUAAUCGUGUACCGAGUAUGUAGUAUCAUAUUUCAAAUUGAGAUAUAUUGAAGUAAACUCUCU